GAUGAACGCUGGCGGCGUGCCUAAUACAUGCAAGUCGAGCGAACAGACGAGGAGCUUGCUCCUCUGACGUUAGCGGCGGACGGGUGAGUAACACGUGGAUAACCUACCUAUAAGACUGGGAUAACUUCGGGAAACCGGAGCUAAUACCGGAUAAUAUAUUGAACCGCAUGGUUCAAUAGUUAAAGACGGUUUUGCUGUCACUUAUAGAUGGAUCCGCGCCGCAUUAGCUAGUUGGUAAGGUAACGGCUUACCAAGGCAACGAUGCGUAGCCGACCUGAGAGGGUGAUCGGCCACACUGGAACUGAGACACGGUCCAGACUCCUACGGGAGGCAGCAGUAGGGAAUCUUGCGCAAUGGGCGCAAGCCUGACGGAGCCACGCCGCGUGAGUGAUGAAGGUCUUCGGAUCGUAAAACUCUGUUAUUAGGGAAGAAAAAAUGUGUAAGUAACUAUGCACGUCUUGACGGUACCUAAUCAGAAAGCCACGGCUAACUACGUG
rnacentral:rRNA from 1 species